CAGCAGCCGCGGUAACACAGAGGAUGCAAGCGUUAUCCGGAAUUAUUGGGCGUAAAGGGCUCGCAGGCGGUUUCUUAAGUCUGAUGUGAAAGCCCCCGGCUCAACCGGGGAGGGUCAUUGGAAACUGGGAAACUUGAGUGCAGAAGAGGAGAGUGGAAUUCCACGUGUAGCGGUGAAAUGCGUAGAGAUGUGGAGGAACACCAGUGGCGAAGGCGACUCUCUGGUCUGUAACUGACGCUGAUGAGCGAAAGCGUGGGGAGCGAACAGGAUUAGAUACCCCGGUAGUCCCUGUCUCUUAUAC
rnacentral:rRNA from 1 species